AUGUUUGGAAUAUUCUGAACACUUUUCCAGAAGGCCACGAACCCAUCUGAGGUCAUCUUGGGCUCCAAAAACGUCAUUUAAGCCCAAAAACGUCAUUUUCCAGCAUUGCGCACUGCUUCUUUAUUUCAUCGUCAUAAAAUAACUGCUUGGUGGAAAAAUCCCAAAUUUUGAUACGAUCAAGCUAAGUGACUCACGAACGUCCUCCAACUGGAAUUACUCCAAAAUUCGUCCAUUUGGUCCUGUUUUGCUCCAGAGGAAGUCAAAAGUCCUAUAUUGAAAAUACAAUUCAAAGUAUCAAAAUUCUUCCAAUAUAUUAACCAAAAUUUACUAAGAUUAGGGUAAAAUAUAUAAUAUAAAAUCUACUCAUCAGUGAUGUCUAGUAAUGGACCGAUAACCCAUUGUGAUGGGGAUUUGUUGCUUUAUAUUGUUUCGUUUCAUUGAGUCUUUGUGAAUUGAGUAACUUGAAUCAUGUCUUAUUCUUUCGAGUCGUUGUUAUGCUUCAUGGACUUCCGUUCAAUUCUGUUGAGUAGUCCGGAACUGAGUUGUGAUUGGAUUUCGUUAAGUGAUGGAACGGAAUCCCUUAUACUUCGCGAUUCCGUUGAGUGAUGGUCCGGAAUCAUAUCCUAAUUGGAUUCCGUUGAGUGAUGGUCCGGAAUCGUAUCUUGAUUAGAUUUCAUUGAGUGAUGGUCCGAAAUUCCCUUUGGUUCCUUGGUUCCUUUGGGUGGUCCAAAAUUCCCUUUUUCAGAGAUGUGGUCUUUGGCCUAGCUGUGGCGCUCUAGCCCGCAUUUUGACGUGUUGUAUGUGUUAUUGAUGAUGUGAUGGUUGGCAUUAUUGAUGGAUGUGAUUAUGGAAUGAUGUUGGUUAUGGUAAUUAUGAUUAGACUCGUUGAACAUUAUGACUAGUGAAUAUGAUUGUGCUCCGUCGUUUGUCCCUUGUAAUGUUGCAUGUUAUGCAUUGUGAUUUAUUGUUGAGACAUAGCGAUUUAAUUCAGAUAUUCGAUUGUAGUGAAAUGACGAACUACGAAUAGCUUGAUCCUUAAUAAGGGUACGUAGGCAGUCUAACGAGGAGGUUAGAUGCAGCCAUAAAGUAUACAAAAAACUACUAUGCGAUUCGAUUCUCGAGUUGUACAUUGUACAUAUCCUGGAGGCGGGGUAUGUUAGAUAUACGGAUAUUGGUGUCGUCACGUGUUGAUCCUAGACGUAUGUUGGGAUCGGGGCGUGACAUGUGGUAUCCACUAGUGUAAAUAUUUUAAAUUGAAGAUCGAGCUUAUUCAUUGUAAUCCUAUAGGAUCAAGGAGUGUAGCUGUAAAAAAUCAUCAAAAUCGGAGUUAAAAUAACCGUUAAAUCAUGAUUUUUCAUUUAUAACCGUCAAAAAGUUUUGUCUCCUUACAUGAUCUCUGAAUGUUUGUUUUUUGCAAUUUUU
rnacentral:lncRNA from 1 species